rnacentral:rRNA from 1 species
UACGUAGGGGCAAGCGUUGUCCGGAAUCAUUUGGCGUAAAGAGCGCGUAGGCGGUCCGGUAAGUCAGCUGUGAAAGUCAAGGGCUCAACCCUUUGAAAGCCGGUUGAUACUGUCGGGCUAGAGUCCGGAAGAGGCGAGUGGAAUUCCCGGUGUAGCGGUGAAAUGCGCAGAUAUCGGGAGGACACCAAUGGCGAAGGCAGCUCGCUGGGACGGUACUGACGCUGAGGCGCGAAAGCGUGGGGAGCAACAGG